AUACGGAGGGUGCAAGCGUUACUCGGAAUCACUGGGCGUAGAGCGCGCGCAGGCGGCUAUUUAAGUUGGAUGUGAAAGCCUACGGCUCAACCGUAGAACUGCAUCCAAAACUAUUUAGCUAGAGUGUGGGAGAGGAAGAUGGAAUUAGUUGUGUAGGGGUAAAAUCCGUAGAGAUAACUAGGAAUACCAAAAGCGAAGGCAAUCUUCUGGAACACUACUGACGCUGAGGCGCGAAGGCGUGGGGAGCAAACAGGAUUAGAAACCCGUGUAGUCC
rnacentral:rRNA from 1 species